UUGAGCGGAGAUAUAUGGAGCUUGCUUUAUAUAACUUAGCAGCGAACGGGUGAGUAACACGUAGAUAAUCUAUCCUAUACUGGGGGAUAGCCCGAUGAAAGUUGGAUUAAUACCGCAUAUAGCUAUAUAGUUGCAUGAUUAUGUAGUGAAAGAUUUAUUGGUAUAGGAGGAGUCUGCGGCACAUUAGCUAGUAGGUGAGGUAAAGGCUUACCUAGGCGACGAUGUGUAGCCGGUCUGAGAGGAUGAACGGCCACAAUGGAACUGAGACACGGUCCAUACUCCUACGGGAGGCAGCAGUGGGGAAUAUUGCACAAUGGGGGAAACCCUGAUGCAGCAACGCCGCGUGAGUGAAGAAGGUUUUCGGAUUGUAAAGCUCUGUUAGCAGGGAAGAGGAAGGACGGUACCUGCAGAGGAAGCCACGGCUAACUACGUGCCAGCAGCCGCGGUAAUACGUAGGUGGCAAGCGUUGUUCGGAAUAACUGGGCGUAAAGGAUGCGUAGGCGGUUAAACAAGUUAUAUGUUAAAUAUAUAGGCUUAACCUGUAGAAAGCAUAUAAAACUGUUUAACUAGAGUGCAGGAGAGGUAAGUGGAAUUCCUAGUGUAGCGGUGAAAUGCGUAGAGAUUAGGAAGAACACCAGUGGCGAAGGCGACUUACUGGACUGUAACUGACGCUGAGGCAUGAGAGCAUGGGGAGCAAACAGGAUUAGAUACCCUGGUAGUCCAUGCUGUAAACGAUGGGUACUAGGUGUGGGUUGUGAAUAACAAUUCGUGCCGUCGCAAACGCAAUAAGUACCCCGCCUGAGGAG
rnacentral:rRNA from 1 species